rnacentral:rRNA from 1 species
AUUGAACGCUGGCGGCAGGCCUAACACAUGCAAGUCGAGCGGAUGAAGGGAGCUUGCUCCUGGAUUCAGCGGCGGACGGGUGAGUAAUGCCUAGGAAUCUGCCUGGUAGUGGGGGAUAACGUCCGGAAACGGGCGCUAAUACCGCAUACGUCCUGAGGGAGAAAGUGGGGGAUCUUCGGACCUCACGCUAUCAGAUGAGCCUAGGUCGGAUUAGCUAGUUGGUGGGGUAAAGGCCUACCAAGGCGACGAUCCGUAGCUGGUCUGAGAGGAUGAUCAGUCACACUGGAACUGAGACACGGUCCAGACUCCUACGGGAGGCAGCAGUGGGGAAUAUUGGACAAUGGGCGAAAGCCUGAUCCAGCCAUGCCGCGUGUGUGAAGAAGGUCUUCGGAUUGUAAAGCACUUUAAGUUGGGAGGAAGGGCAGUAAGUUAAUACCUUGCUGUUUUGACGUUGCCAACAGAAUAAGCACCGGCUAACUUCGUG